AUCUUCUCCGUGUUGAGCAACCUCCUGUUCAUGCUGCCCCAAUCCUCCACGGAGUGUGGAUCGUCCACAAGCCGGAUCGAGAAGCUGGACGGUCGUACGGAGGCCGGGUAGGAGAUCUUGACUUCGUACCACGCGGACGGCCGCGCCCCGUCGAGCCUGUACAGCCGGCGGCCGUGGCGCAGCGGCAUCGUCUCGCCCAUCAGCUCCUCGCCGACGGCGAGGACCCUUCCCUCCUCCAUGCUGCAGUGGAAGAACGCAAGACGGGAAGCGCGCUGACAGACCGUAUGAUGAUGAAGCGGCUCGGAUCGAAGCAGAGGAAUCGGGGAUAGGCAGACCUGUUUGCGGAGGAGAGAAGUAACGUGGAGAGCACGAGGAGUUGCGGGAGGCGGCGCGAGAGGAGGCAUGAUGAGGGGAGCGGAGGCGGCGGCGGAGGCGGCAUCGCCGCGGGAUCUCCUCGGGCGCCGGCGUCGUCGACGGCGGGUGAUGGGUCGAUGCGUCCGGGAGGCGAAGAGCUGGGUGGAAGUUAACAUGGGCCGGAACGAUGGGCUCAUGGGCCCAUGAAGCGGGCCGUUCGUGGGCCGGUACUCACAGCUUAGCUUAUUUGGGCCUUGUUUGGAUAGGCGGUAAUCCAGGAAUUUUUUGGAUUUUUUAUUUUAUUUAUUAAAUAAUUCACAAAUUUGAUUUUGUAUUUAAAAAAUCGCUCUUCUAACCUAACCUCCUGCCGUCCUCUCGGAGGGCGAAAAGCCUACGUGGCUAACGACUAAGAGGGGAUGCCGGCGGUGUGGAUAGGGCCUUUUUACAAAUUUUCCAGCCCAUGCCUCCCCUCCCGGUUGAGGCUGUAGGUUUUGCAAAAAAACCAUUGUCAUCUUUACAGAGGCAGCAAAGGUCCUAAACACAAUUUUUCUCACCUCGCCA